UGGGGAAUAUUGCACAAUGGAGGGAACUCUGAUGCAGCGACGCCGCGUGAGUGAUGAAGGAAUUCGUUUCGUAAAACUCUGUUCUAUGGGAAGAAAAGGACUGUACCAUAGGAGAAAGCUCCGGCUAAAUACGUGCCAGCAGCCGCGGUAAUACGUAUGGAGCGAGCGUUGUCCGGAAUUAUUGGGCGUAAAGGGUGCGCAGGCGGCUUUACAAGUUGGAUGUGAAAUAUUGUGGCUCAACCACAAACGUGCAUCCAAAACUGCAAAGCUUGAGUUAAGGAGAGGUAAGUGGAAUUCCUGGUGUAGCGGUGGAAUGCGUAGAUAUCAGGAGGAAUACCGGUGACGAAGGCGACUUACUGGACUUAAACUGACGCUCAGGCACGAAAGCGUGGGGAGCAAUCAGG
rnacentral:rRNA from 1 species